rnacentral:rRNA from 1 species
UACGUAGGUGGCAAGCGUUGUCCGGAUUUACUGGGCGUAAAGGGCGUGCAGGCGGUUUGUCUAGUCUAGGGUGAAAGCUCCUGGCUUAACUGGGAGAGGUCCUUGGAUACUGGCAAACUUGAGGGAGGCAGAGGAAGGUGGAAUUCCAGGUGUAGCGGUGAAAUGCGUAGAGAUCUGGAGGAACACCGAUGGCGAAGGCAGCCUUCUGGGCCAACACUGACGCUCAUGCACGAAAGCGUGGGGAGCAAACAGG